AAUCGGAGAUUUAUAGUCUGUCUCACGACCGGAACGUCACUACUUUUUGCAAAAUAUCUCAAAAUAAAUAAAUACCUUGGACUUCAACCUAUAUCCGAUUGGUAGAUUGAUUUUUUUCCAAACUUCCUGCAUUUAUCCGAACCCUCGAGGUCAACCAGUGUAUACACACGGCGGCAAAUUCAAAGUCUACGGGGAUUUAACAUUGUCAAAAUGGCCACCGCUUCGGAAGGGGAUCAUCCAUUGUUCGUAAUUUUCCGUACAUUGCCGUCAGUAAGGUAAUGACGUCACGCACGUUCGGGAGUGCUCUAUGGUUAUCGACGUCCGAAUUACCUAUAACGCCCGAGACUGCCAAGGAUAUAUAUUUGCACUGCAAAAAUAUUACGUCUUCAACAAAACUUUCAUCUGUUCAUACCCUGACUGAGACCGAAGGGAUCAAAGAUUCAUUAAAGGGUUAUACACGGCAUAAAGCAAAGAGGUAUGACUCAAUUCAUAUAAAACAACAUAAGGGGAUACUGAAUAGCUACCUGGUGAAGACACAAGAUGGAAAAGCACAAACAUGGCUGUGUACAUUACAUAUAUUAACUUAAGCCAUCAGUACCCGCAGAUAUAUUUUACAAGAGGAAUAAAUGUUUAUAAAAGUCAAGCGCCCACUGAUGCUGGAGUGUGGAGUCCAUGACUUGUUGUAAAGACAUGAAACAGAAGUGAGAAAAUGUCG